CGCAUGUCUUAGAACCAAUUACCGACGUAAAUCGAGGUAUGCCUGAACAUAAAUGAAGAACGAAGGACAAAAAAAUGAUAAAUUCCGAUUUGUCCGUGCGUUUCGUUUCGUUUUCAAUGUCAAGUUUUACAUUCCAUUGUCUUAUUUCUGGUCCAGUUGAAUCCGCGCCAUUUAACUAAGACUUUUUUUUUUUUCCGCCAAAGAAAUCAGUUUGAAGAGAUCGCAAAGAGAAAUCAUAAGAAUAAUAAGCUUAUGCAGAAAAACAGGUAGGUUCUGUUACCCAGCAGUGCGAAAGUAAUAACUAUUUCCAUUGAUUGAUUGCAUGAUACAACUAAUAUUAAAUAUGUAGCCUUCGUUACACUCAGCGAAGUACAGUGAUGAAUGAAUCGAGAUGGAACCAAAUAUAGAAAGUUGUACAUUUAUUAAAGUAAAACAAGAAUUGGGGAAAAAUUCAUACAGCAUCUAUAAGAAGAACCAUAUGUAUGUUAUUGUUAAUAUAUCUAAUGAGCGAAGUAUUUAAAAGUUGAUAAAUAUUGCAGUGAAAAAAAAUAAUAGUAAAAUACCAUUAUUUGCUUUAUUUCGUGUUUUCCAUAUCGGUAUGGGAAGUAUAAGUAAUAAAUUCACAAAGAAAUAUAAAUAAUUGGCGAUCUUUCGUCUCUAGUAGACCUUUCCGUCGAUUUCCGUAAAAAAAUUUUUUUUUUUACAUAUGGGCUUGCGGGAACUUUUGAAGUAAUAUACAUACAUAUACACAUACACCGAGUAAAAAAUUUCAGUUAUCUCUUUCUUUCACACAUUACUCUGUCUGUCUCUUCACGCACACUAACAGAAGCACUUCACUUACACAACAUACUGUUUGUCUCCCACACCCCAUCAAACACACACACAUGUACAUCAAUGUUUCCCAUGCACGGUAACUUCAAAAGAACUUCCCUCGUCAUACAAUCGCUUUCUCUUACUCUCUUUCGCUCUCAUUACUUCAAAAGUUCCCGCAAGCCCAUAUGUAAAAAAAAAAAAAGAAUUUUUACGGAAAUCGACGGAAAGGUCUACUAGAGACGAAAGAUUGCCAAUUGCCAAUAAUUAUUUUAGCCAGCAGUGGGAAAGUAAUAACUGAUUUCAUUGAUUGUAUAAUAUAACUAGUAUUAAAUAUGUAGCCUUUACUAUACUUACCGAAGUAUGGUGAUGAUUAUGUAGAACUACAAAGGUGUGACUGACUCUUUGACUUUGUUUCCCUAUAACUUUCUUCAAAUCGCACGUUUUUUAACGAUUUUUUGUUCAGGGUACAUUUCAGAUUAAGAAGAUUACGAUUAUAUAUAGAGGAAAAAAUUGUAAAAUCUAAAUUUUUCACGAAGCUUCAAAUGAUUCCCCACAGCUUGCUUUAAAAUGCAUAUUUUUUAACGAAAUUUUUCACAUACGUUGUAGAUAAUCUAGAUUGCGAUUAUACUGAGAGAAAAAUUGUAAAACAAAAAAAAAAAAAAUUCCAACCAGUUUCGGAUAAUCCCUCCAUCUGAUCUUGUUUGCUCAGAACUUUCUUUGAAAUGUUUUUUUUUUUUUUUUUCUCUCAUUAAUUUUUCCAGAGAUUACUUUUAAAUGAUGUAGAAUACGAUUACGCGAGGGGGGGGGGGGGAAUAAUCAGAAAAAGAUAUUUUGCAGGAAUAAUUCUUUUUUGGAACAAUGGAUCUCGAAACACAGGGCGGCGAGUUGGCAGAAUCGUUGGCACGCCGGGCCAAAUGCUUAGCGGCAUUUCGCCCAUUUUAAAGUUCUGAGUUCAAAUUCCGCCGGGUUCUACUUUGCCUUUCAUCCUCUGGAGAUCGAUAAAAUGGGAGUCAGUUGAGCUCUGGGAUCGAUGUAAUCGACUUACUCCUUCCCCCUUCCCCCAAGCUUGCUGGCCUUGUGCCAAAAUUUGAAACUAAUAUUUAUAGUAUUAUGUUUCGAGAUUCACUGUUCCAAAAAAAAAAAAUACAUUUAGUUCACAUUCCCUCGACACUAACAAAGGGAUAUGGGUUCGACUCCAACAUGGAUAGGAAAGCCUUUUUACUGUCGAGGACUUAUAUGCCCCUUUAUUAAACUACUUUCCUUAGUCAUUGCACAGUGAUCGCCAAAAGCUUUAAGCUUAUAUAAAAAUACCGUUAUUAUUAUUUAGAGAAUUGUAAACUCGGCGCUACAUACAUACAUACAAAGGGCUUCUUUCAGUUUCUAUUUACCAAAUCUACUCAGCCCUAGGCAAUCGUAAAAGACAUUGCCCCAAGGUGCCAUGUUUGAUGGGCUUCUUUCAGUUUCCGUUUACUGUAUCUACUUACAAGGCUUUGGUCAACUAGCAGUCAUCUUGGGUUCAUGCAAUUUGUGUAAAUUUUAAAAAAAAAGUGUUGAGGUAAUAGUAUAUCAGUAUAUAAAUGUAUUAACCUGCGUAUCUUACACUGUUUAUUUAUAAUUUCAGAUUGGCUGAUGGCCCUGGUAUCAGUGAAUCAUUUACAUCAGACAAAUCAAUUACAGAGGUUAUGCAAAAUAUUGAAGCAGAAAUAACCUUGUGUGUAUAAAUCCAUGGGAGAAUUUAUGUGAAAUGUUGCUUCUGAACUAAGAUAAGAAAAGCAAAAAAUCUUUACUUUCACUGUCGAAAAUAUUACAAGAUGAGUUUGCAUACUGCUCUUAACUAAAAACAUUUGGAUAAUUUGACAAAGGCUCUUGCAUCAUCUACAGAUAUCAAUGGCAAUCCGUGUUGAUGAUAAAAUAUAGCAGUAGAAAUAUAUAUAUAUAUUACGGAGAUGUACUUGCAUAGCAAGUGAUUUGAUCUGAGAUUGUGUGCUGGAACAAAAACAAUUGCAGCGUGGAAGGUGUUUGUAAGCCAUUUAAGAAACACACAAAAGCCGUUCGAUUCACUUCAACAUUUAAGUUUAAUUUGUCAAAAUAUUUUCGUCACUUUAAGACCGCCACCUGUUCACUGACAAAAAUCCAUGC
rnacentral:lncRNA from 1 species